UGGGGAAUUUUGCACAAUGGGGGAAACCCUGAUGCAGCGACGCCGCGUGAUUUAGAAGGCCUUCGGGUUGCAAAAAUCUUUUCUAUGGGAAGAAAAUGACAGUACCAUAGGAAUAAGGACCGGCUAAUUACGUGCCAGCAGCCGCGGUAAUACGUAAGGCCCGAGCGUUGUCCGGAAUCAUUGGGCGUAAAGGGUACGUAGGCGGGUAAGCAAGUUAGAAGUGAAAUCCUAUAGCUCAACUAUAGUAAGCUUUUAAAACUGCUCAUCUUGAGGUAUGGAAGGGAAAGUGGAAUUCCUAGUGUAGCGGUGAAAUGCGCAGAUAUUAGGAGGAAUACCGGUGGCGAAGGCGACUUUCUGGCCAUAACCUGACGCUGAGGUACGAACGCGUGGGUAGCAAACAGG
rnacentral:rRNA from 1 species